UCACAGGCUAUAAAAAGGUAAAUUAUGUGCUACCUGGGAUACGUCACCUGUUGAAUUGUUGCGUCGGUAACGCGUUUCCGUCACUUCCGCACUUCCGUCCCUCCUUGGCGCUAGCAAACAUCAAGGUUGUAAUUAGUUUGGAACGUCUGUUUCGAUUCAGUGAUUGCUGCCGUGCGGCUAUGUAAACAAGCCGUGCGUAGACUUUAAUGACGCUGUGAGACCCAAUGCAGUCGCUGUGAUUUUGUUAAUUCCUACCCUGGCCUUGGCUGUAAGAGUCCUGUCGUGUGUGUUAUUCAAAUCUCCUUGACGAUUGGUUUGGGGAAGCCAGUAGCUGCUUUUCAUUUGAGGCACUCGUGUCUUUUUACAGCUGCAUUGCUGUCCUGUUUCCAGAAACUAUUUUUUUUUUUUUUUUUUUUUGUUCCCAAAUAAUACUUUGGGUUUCUAAUAUUAUUUUCUU